GACGAACGCUGGCGGCGUGCUUAACACAUGCAAGUCGAACGGAAAGGCCCUGCUUUUGUGGGGUGCUCGAGUGGCGAACGGGUGAGUAACACGUGAGUAACCUGCCCUUGACUUUGGGGUAACUUCAGGAAACUGGGGCUAAUACCGGAUAGGAGCUCCUGCUGCAUGGUGGGGGUUGGUAAGUUUCGGCGGUUGGGGAUGGACUCGCGGCUUAUCAGCUUGUUGGUGGGGUAGUGGCUUACCAAGGCUUUGACGGGUAGCCGGCCUGAGAGGGUGACCGGCCACAUUGGGACUGAGAUACGGCCCAGACUCCUACGGGAGGCAGCAGUGGGGAAUAUUGCACAAUGGGCGGAAGCCUGAUGCAGCAACGCCGCGUGCGGGAUGACGGCCUUCGGGUUGUAAACCGCUUUCGCCUGUGACGAAGCGUGAGUGACGGUAAUGGGUAAAGAAGCACCGGCUAACUACGUG
rnacentral:rRNA from 1 species